rnacentral:rRNA from 1 species
AACGCGAAGAACCUUACCUGGUCUUGACAUCCCGUUUGAUACAGGGCAAUGCCUGUAGCCCUUCGGGGGAACGGAGACAGGUGGUGCAUGGUUGUCGUCAGCUCGUGUCGUGAGAUGUUGGGUUAAGUCCCGCAACGAGCGCAACCCCUGUGCUUAGUAGCCAGCAGGUAAAGCUGGGCACUCUAAGGAGACAGCCGGGGAUAACCCGGAGGAAGGUGGGGAUGACGUCAAAUCAUCAUGCCCCUUAUGACCAGGGCUACACACGUGCUACAAUGGCGCAAACAAAGGGAAGCGAGCAUGUGAAUGUAAGCAAAACUCAGAAAAGGCGUCACAGUUCGGAUUGUAGUCUGCAACUCGACUACAUGAAGCUGGAAUCGCUAGUAAUCGCGAAUCAGCA